CCCUAACCUAACCUCCCCACCCCAAUAGGAUCCAGUGGAAGAAAAGUCAGGCAAACUCGAGCACGAACACACCACAAGGAGAUCAGAACUUCCAGCUGGCUCUCUGCUGCCACAGCUCCACCAAAGGGUGGGGGGAAUCAGAGGGAGCCUUGCCGGACACUAAACCCAGAGCUGAGAGGAGAGGCAGGUGGUACAGGACUUGAGAGCAUCUGAAC
rnacentral:lncRNA from 1 species